AUUGAACGCUGGCGGCAUGCUUUACACAUGCAAGUCGGACGGCAGCACAGAGAAGCUUGCUUCUUGGGUGGCGAGUGGCGAACGGGUGAGUAACAUAUCGGAACGUACCGAGUAAUGGGGGAUAACUAAUCGAAAGAUUAGCUAAUACCGCAUAUUCUCUGAGGAGGAAAGCAGGGGACCUUCGGGCCUUGCGUUAUUCGAGCGGCCGAUAUCUGAUUAGCUAGUUGGUGGGGUAAAGGCCUACCAAGGCGACGAUCAGUAGCGGGUCUGAGAGGAUGAUCCGCCACACUGGGACUGAGACACGGCCCAGACUCCUACGGGAGGCAGCAGUGGGGAAUUUUGGACAAUGGGCGCAAGCCUGAUCCAGCCAUGCCGCGUGUCUGAAGAAGGCCUUCGGGUUGUAAAGGACUUUUGUCAGGGAAGAAAAGGCUGUCGCUAAUACCGACAGUUGAUGACGGUACCUGAAGAAUAAGCACCGGCUAACUACGUGCCAGCAGCCGCGGUAAUACGUAGGGUGCGAGCGUUAAUCGGAAUUACUGGGCGUAAAGCGAGCGCAGACGGUUACUUAAGCAGGAUGUGAAAUCCCCGGGCUUAACCUGGGAACUGCGUUCUGAACUGGGUGACUAGAGUGUGUCAGAGGGAGGUAGAAUUCCACGUGUAGCAGUGAAAUGCGUAGAGAUGUGGAGGAAUACCGAUGGCGAAGGCGGCCUCCUGGGAUGACACUGACGUUCAUGCUCGAAAGCGUGGGUAGCAAACAGG
rnacentral:rRNA from 1 species